rnacentral:rRNA from 1 species
AUGGACGCUGUGGAGUCCUCGUCACCGUACUCUCCGCCCUCGCUGCGCCACAAGCUGCGGACCACCGUCUGCGCCUGCUUCGGCUCGCCGGGCAGCGGCGGGGAGAGGCCGCACACGGGGGGCGGCAGGAGCAGGUGGAGGCGACGCGUGGCAGCCACGGGGGAGUUCAGGUACGACCCGCUCAGCUACGCGCUCAACUUCGACGACGGCGCCAGCGACGACGACGCGGAGGACGCCGCCUUCAGGCACAGAAACUUCAACUCGCGCCUGCCCCCCUCGCCGACGCCCGCCUCCCGAGCCGUCGCAAUUGCCUGA